rnacentral:rRNA from 1 species
CCCUGAAAAUGGAUGGCGCUGGAGCGUCCCACUUAUUCCGGNCCGCUUGGGCCCAGGAAGCCGGAAACGGCUGAAAACAAGCUCAAGCGAGUAGGAGGGCCGCUGUGGUGAGCGUCGAAGCCUGGGACGCGAGUCUGGG